rnacentral:rRNA from 1 species
CCUACGGGAGGCAGCAGUGGGGAAUUUUGGACAAUGGGGGCAACCCUGAUCCAGCCAUGCCGCGUGAGUGAAGAAGGCCUUCGGGUUGUAAAGCUCUUUCGGCCGGAACGAAAUCGCGCACGUGAAUAACGUGCGUGGAUGACGGUACCGGAGUAAGAAGCACCGGCUAACUACGUGCCAGCAGCCGCGGUAAUACGUAGGGUGCGAGCGUUAAUCGGAAUUACUGGGCGUAAAGCGUGCGCAGGCGGUUCGCUAAGUCAGACGUGAAAGCCCCGGGCUUAACCUGGGAACGGCGUUUGAAACUGGCGGGCUCGAGUACGGCAGAGGGGGGUGGAAUUCCACGUGUAGCAGUGAAAUGCGUAGAUAUGUGGAGGAACACCGAUGGCGAAGGCAGCCCCCUGGGCCGAUACUGACGCUCAUGCACGAAAGCGUGGGGAGCAAACAGGAUUAGAUACCCUGGUAGUCCACGCCCUAAACUAUGUCAACUAGUUGUCGGGGAAGCAAUUCCUUGGUAACGCAGCUAACGCGUGAAGUUGACCGCCUGGGGAUACGGUCGCAAGAUUAAAACUUAAAGGAAUUGACGG